rnacentral:lncRNA from 1 species
UCACCGAUCCAGAUCAAAUUCAUUUCUGGCCGUCGAUUCCACUAAAAGAAACCGCGUGCCGGAUCCCUCCACGUCAUCGAUCUGCGACUCACUCUGCUAACCAAUCAGAACCCAUCAGCAUUCUAUAUAAAGACGGAACCGAUUCUUUUCUCCAUUCUCAUCAUCUCUCCUUACUCCGGAUUCGUGUCCCUCAAACCCCUCUUGCAACCCCUCUCCUCGUCGUCGUCCUCGUCCUCGAGCUCGAUCUUGUCUCCCAUGGCGCCCAAGGCGGAGAAAAAGCCCGCGGAGAAGAAGCCCGCGGAGAAGGACAAGCCCGCGGAGGAGAAGGAGAAG